UGGGGAAUCUUCCGCAAUGGGCGAAAGCCUGACGGAGCAACGCCGCGUGAACGAUGAAGGCCUUCGGGUCGUAAAGUUCUGUCCUCAGGGAAGAACCCUCAUGGGAGGAAAUGCCCAUGAGCUGACGGUACCUGGGAAGGAAGCCCUGGCUAACUACGUGCCAGCAGCCGCGGUAAUACGUAGAGGGCAAGCGUUGUCCGGAAUUACUGGGCGUAAAGGGUACGCAGGCGGAUAUAUAAGUCAAAUGUGAAAGGCACCGGCUCAACCGGUGAGCGGCAUUUGAAACUGUAUAUCUUGAGUUCAGGAGAGGAGAGCGGAAUUCCUGGUGUAGCGGUGGAAUGCGUAGAUAUCAGGAAGAACACCAGUGGCGAAGGCGGCUCUCUGGCCUGAAACUGACGCUCAGGUACGAAAGCUGGGGGAGCGAACG
rnacentral:rRNA from 1 species